rnacentral:rRNA from 1 species
GAUGAACGCUGGCGGCGUGCCUAAUACAUGCAAGUCGAGCGAACAGACGAGGAGCUUGCUCCUUUGACGUUAGCGGCGGACGGGUGAGUAACACGUGGGUAACCUACCUAUAAGACUGGGAUAACUUCGGGAAACCGGAGCUAAUACCGGAUAAUAUUUCGAACCGCAUGGUUCGAUAGUGAAAGAUGGCUUUGCUAUCACUUAUAGAUGGACCUGCGCCGUAUUAGCUAGUUGGUAAGGUAACGGCUUACCAAGGCAACGAUACGUAGCCGACCUGAGAGGGUGAUCGGCCACACUGGAACUGAGACACGGUCCAGACUCCUACGGGAGGCAGCAGUAGGGAAUCUUCCGCAAUGGGCGAAAGCCUGACGGAGCAACGCCGCGUGAGUGAUGAAGGUCUUCGGAUCGUAAAACUCUGUUAUUAGGGAAGAAUAAACGUGUAAGUAACUGUGCACGGCUUGACGGUACCUAAUCAGAAAGCCACGGCUAACUACGUG